AUGGCUCAGCUAUACAACUUACUCUAUAUUGGGAGAUACAUAACACUGAUUCUCACUGUAACAUCAGGUGGUUUUGCAGAUGAAAUUGAGCCAACAGAUACAAACAUUAUCAGGAAAGAAACAGAGACUGUUACUCUAAAAUGUUCAUAUCAGUCCAGCAGCAGCAGUGUUCGGCUUUACUGGUACAAACAAAAUCCUAACAGCGCACCACAGUUUUUACUGUAUAAAGGUGCAAAAGGCCUUACAGCUGAGAGCACUCCUGAUGAUCCUCGAUUCACGUCUAAAACAACCAGUACAUCUACUGUACUCACCAUCAGCAAUCUAAAGCUGACAGAUUCUGCUCUCUAUCACUGUGCUCUUAGAGACACCCAGUGA